AGGGCAAGGAUUGUGUGCCUACAGGUUCUAGUGAUGGAAUGCUGUCCCUGCUGCUGGCACCAUUCAAAAAAUCAAUAUCUUCUUACAGCUGCCCCGCCAUAUGUCAUCCAGAGAGAGAAGAUGAGAAUCAAAUAUAUGUUUGCCACAUUUGAGAGCACAGUAGUUUCUUGAGGAAAAGCCAAGCAGAUUGCAUUACAUCCUAAAGAAAACUAUUAGGUUUUAUAGAAGUGUGCCUGUGACCGAUGAUUCUGAAUAAACUGGUCCUCCUUGGCAAAAUUUGAAAAA